AACGCACAUUGCGCCUUUUGGUAUUCCAGAAGGCAUACUUGUUUGAGCGUCAUUUCACUCUUAAAAAACAUAUUUUUGUUUUUUAGUAUUGAGUUUUAUUUCUCUUAUGGAGAAUAACUUGAAAUGAAUUGGCAAAAGCGAAUUAUAUUUCUUUUAAGGCUUUUUUACAACGUAAUAGGUUUUACCAACUCGUUGACUUUAAAGCUGAAAUUAGUUCAUGCUUGGGCAUUAUAACUAAAACUUUUUAAAAGUUUGACCUCAAAUCAAGCAAGAUUACCCGCUGAACUUAA
rnacentral:misc_RNA from 1 species